rnacentral:rRNA from 1 species
GAUGAACGCUGGCGGCGUGCCUAAUACAUGCAAGUCGAGCGAACGGACGAGAAGCUUGCUUUUCUGAUGUUAGCGGCGGACGGGUGAGUAACACGUGGAUAACCUACCUAUAAGACUGGGAUAACUUCGGGAAACCGGAGCUAAUACCGGAUAAUAUUUUGAACCGCAUGGUUCAAAAGUGAAAGACGGUCUUGCUGUCACUUAUAGAUGGAUCCGCGCUGCAUUAGCUAGUUGGUAAGGUAACGGCUUACCAAGGCAACGAUGCAUAGCCGACCUGAGAGGGUGAUCGGCCACACUGGAACUGAGACACGGUCCAGACUCCUACGGGAGGCAGCAGUAGGGAAUCUUCCGCAAAGGGCGAAAGCCUGACGGAGCAACGCCGCGUGAGUGAUGAAGGUCUUCGGAUCGUAAAACUCCGUUAUUAGGGAAGAACAUAUGUGUAAGUAACUGUGCACAUCUUGACGGUACCUAAUCAGAAAGCCACGGCUAACUACGUG